CACAGAAUGGAUGACUGGAGUGGAAAAAAUGAAAAUGUCAUUGGAAUAUGGAAGUAAAGAAACUGAGAAGCUGAGAGUUUUUGCAUCAUCCAGUCAGUGUUUCUCAAUCGGGAAAGAAUUUGCCUCCCAGAGGACAUUUGGCAAUGUCUGGAGCUACUUCUGUUUGUCACAAUUAGGGUAAGGGUGCCACUGGCAUCUAGUAGGGGGAGGUCUGGGAUGCUGCUAAACAGCCUACAAUGCACAAGACAUGCUUCCACUAUUAAAAAAAAAUUAUCUGGCCCAAAAUGUCAUAGUGCCAGGAUAUUAUAAAUAUAGGCAAAGGUGUUCAGAGGUUUAAAACUGAACAAGAGGACAUCAGUAAAAGUUCAGUGUUGCAGAAUGGGUUAAGAUUGGAACAUGAAAACAAAAGUUUUUGUCCCAAGAUCAGGAGCAGAUGAGGUCUAGUGGUUGGAAAGCAAGACUGGAAAUGACACCUUGGACUAAGGAUAUUUGGGCAAGCCCACAUAACAGCAUUUGAAUAUGCAACAGUUAGAGCUGGGACAAUGAAAGCUUGAUUUUGGUCUUGGCAAAUAAGGGCUAGAGAGUGUG
rnacentral:lncRNA from 1 species